CCUACGGGAGGCAGCAGUGGGGAAUUUUGGACAAUGGGCGAAAGCCUGAUCCAGCCAUGCCGCGUGCAGGAUGAAGGCCUUCGGGUUGUAAACUGCUUUUGUACGGAACGAAAAGGUCUUUUCUAAUAAAGAAGGCUCAUGACGGUACCGUAAGAAUAAGCACCGGCUAACUACGUGCCAGCAGCCGCGGUAAUACGUAGGGUGCGAGCGUUAAUCGGAAUUACUGGGCGUAAAGCGUGCGCAGGCGGUUAUAUAAGACAGUUGUGAAAUCCCCGGGCUCAACCUGGGAACUGCAUCUGUGACUGUAUAGCUAGAGUACGGUAGAGGGGGAUGGAAUUCCGCGUGUAACAGUGAAAUGCGUAGAUAUGCGGAGGAACACCGAUGGCGAAGGCAAUCCCCUGGACCUGUACUGACGCUCAUGCACGAAAGCGUGGGGAGCAAACAGGAUUAGAUACCCUGGUAGUCCACGCCCUAAACGAUGUCAACUGGUUGUUGGGUCUUCACUGACUCAGUACGAAGCUAACGNGUGAAGUGACCGCGUGGGGAGGUACGGCCGCGAGUAGAACGUACGAAGAAGUAGACGGCGUGAGACGUGCCGACGGACGACGACGAGGGAGGAGG
rnacentral:rRNA from 1 species